rnacentral:rRNA from 1 species
AUUGAACGCUGGCGGAAUGCUUUACACAUGCAAGUCGAACGGCAGCACGGACUUCGGUCUGGUGGCGAGUGGCGAACGGGUGAGUAAUGUAUCGGAACGUGCCCAGUCGUGGGGGAUAACGUAGUGAAAAUUACGCUAAUACCGCAUACGAUCUAUGGAUGAAAGCGGGGGAUCGCAAGACCUCGCGCGAUUGGAGCGGCCGAUAUCAGAUUAGGUAGUGGGUGGGGUAAAGGCCCACCAAGCCAACGAUCUGUAGCUGGUCUGAGAGGACGACCAGCCACACUGGAGCUGAGACACGGUCCAGACUCCUACGGGAGGCAGCAGUGGGGAAUUUUGGACAAUGGGCGAAAGCCUGAUCCAGCCAUUCCGCGUGCAGGAUGAAGGCCCUCGGGUUGUAAACUGCUUUUGUACAGAACGAAAAGGUUUCUACUAAUACUAGGAGCUCAUGACGGUACUGUAAGAAUAAGCACCGGCUAACUACGUGCCAGCAGCCGCCGUAA